CAAAUAGGUUUUUUUUUUGUUCUGAACUGCAAAAUAGGAAUGCCUUAUAUUUACAUACACAGGUAUACAAUUAAUUAUAACAAAGGUACAGAAGCUUGCCUUUACCAAGUUACAACUGGGCUCCAAUUUAAAUAGCAUAGGGUUGGUGUUCAAGGUGGGAGCUUUUUGGAGACAGAAGUGGGGUGAGGCUGCGAGUGGGUGAUGGGAACAGGACUGACCAACCUGCUACUUUCAGCCACCUGUCUCUGAGACUCAAAGGCCCCUGCCUGUCCCUUAAAUCACCCAUUCAUCCUUUCCUGCUCCUCCUCCUCUCUCUAGUAUUUGAGACUUAACUCUGGGUC
rnacentral:lncRNA from 1 species